ACAACAGCUGAAAAAAAUGAUAAAUUUUCUGUCUAAGAGGAGAUCUCUGUUUAUGCAUAAUCAAAUUCCAAAGUCAGAAGUUGGCAACAACACACUUCUCUCCCCACUAAUACAGGGGUAUCCAGAGCUGAUCGAUGAAGCUCAAAGGCAAGCUCAAUGGAGCAAGUCCUAAUCCAGAGGUGGCUAUGCCCAAAGCAGAGCACAGGGUCACCAGAAACGUGGCCCUGGUUCUGAGGGAAGGCACUACUAGCCGGCCAGCUGCUCAGCGCUACACUGGUGCCCACGAGUUUCUGCUGGUCCCAGUCUGAACUACAGAGACCCUCCUGUGACACACAACAUCAGACAGACUCGCAUCCUGGGAUGAGCAACAGCCAUUAUUUUCCUGUACUAUAUCCAAAGCUCACAGAAUAAACUGAUGUAGUAACACAAUUGUAAGAGGGCAGUCAGAACAGACAAAUGAAGACCCCAAGGCUUCUAGUAGCCACAGGUUUGUGAAAUAAUUCCUCCCAGAAGAAAGCAGAACACCACUUUCAUCCAAAGGGAAGCCACGUACUUUCAGAGAUACGCACAUUGGUCAGUAUGAAUUUGGAGACAGUAACUCGGUAGGAAGAUGGUUAAAAGUACUUCACAUUUCUUAGUACUUGUUUUUAUUCUCUAAAACCAUCUUUAAAAUGCAGAGGUAAUUAGCAGAACAUAGUAAAAAAUUCGUAGAAAUUCUAAUUUAAACUCCUGAAGAAAACAGAUCCAUAGGUAAAAGUACAUCUCCAUUUUUUCCUAAACUACACCAUAGCUGUACCCAAGCACUUUACGCUUCCAUGAUAAAAAAAAAACCCUGUUCUUAAAUACACUCAAGAUGUAAUUCAUUAAGAUAAAAAUACUCUCUUAAUAGAAUUUAAUAAUAUAAGCUACUCUGAUUAGAAGGAAGAGAAGUAGCAGUAAGAGAGCUGCUCGAAAAGUAACACCUACUUUAUUAUGUUGGCCCAUGAUGUAACUGAAGGUCUGUAGUUGAACUCCUCCACGCAGAAAAGAAAUUGCACAUGCAUUGAUGCUGGCUGAAUGUUUAUGAAGACCAAACAGUGGAUGUG